UACGAAGGGGGCUAGCGUUGCUCGGAAUUACUGGGCGUAAAGCGCACGUAGGCGGAUUGUUAAGUCGGGGGUGAAAUCCUGGAGCUCAACUUCAGAACUGCCUUCGAUACUGGCGAUCUAGAGUCCGAGAGAGGUGAGUGGAACUGCGAGUGUAGAGGUGAAAUUCGUAGAUAUUCGCAAGAACACCAGUGGCGAAGGCGGCUCACUGGCCCGGUACUGACGCUGAGGUGCGAAAGCGUGGGGAGCAAACAGG
rnacentral:rRNA from 1 species